UACGAAGGUGGCGAAUGUUGCUCGGAUUCACUGGGCGUAAAGCGUCUGUAGGUGGUUUUGUAAGUUAGAGGUGAAAGCCCCGCGCUCAACGUGGGAAUUGCCUUUAAAACUGCAUGACUUGAAGAUAUGAGAGGAUGGCGGAAUGACUGGUGUAGAGGUGAAAUUCGUAGAUAUCAGUCGGAACACCCAUGGCGAAGGCAGCUAUCUGGCAUAUUCUUGACACUGAGGGACGAAAGCGUGGGGAGCAAAC
rnacentral:rRNA from 1 species